CUCUUAAGAAAACGAUAGAAACUUUGUUCUGCGCGCUGACAAAAUUUUUUACAGCUGUGACUAUCAUACGACCGGUCAGAUGACUGUCACUGUUCUUGUAAGGUGAUCUAACAAUUAUGAGUGUUGGUAAGCCCAUCAGCAGUAUGUUGUAGAGUAUAUUUUUUUUAACCGUUUGUGUAUUUAAAGGCCAAAGAUAAGUUGACAAAAUGUUGUAUAGUUUUAUAAAUUUGUACUUAGAUUUGUAGAUGCCAUAUAUUGGAUGGCUAUCAAUUGUAUGGUGACAACACCCUAGACCCUGAAGAGUAAUCAGUGGGUAGAUUCAGUAUAAAAAAAUUUCAAUAAAAAUGUAAUACAGUUGUUUCAAAGUUACGGUCAGGAUUUCUUCUUAAUUAUGGCUUGCCGUUGGUGGAGGACAUUGGCUAUAUUAUAUAUCCUCAUAAUAUCAUUGGUAGCCACAUCAGCGCGACAAUCAUUUAAGCGCUUAAAAAUUUCAACGAUGAUGAAAUUCCAAAAGAAGCAAGCUUGGACUCAUUAAUUGGGGAACUCAAUCCUUGGAUAUAUUCCAGUAACAUAUUAUAUACGUGAUAGUUACGUUUUCAUCGCGUUAUGGGCUAUUAAAAUUAACUGUAACAACUUAUUAAAUUCUUAAGCGAAUUGUUUCGUGUAAUGUAUGGCUAGUAAAAGCGUAAUAAUCUGUGUAGGUUAACUUUAGAUUUUUAACCAAUAGUAAAAGUAUUGUAUGUAAAAUAAAAUAUAAUUUUUAUAACUGUAGAGGUAUAUGGAAAUGUAAGAAAACUGCGUUUGCCGUUUUUAAUUAUAUCUUAAGAUAAUGAUUUUCAAGUUUUUGUACUCAGAUUUUAGCAACAUAGUCUACAUUCAGACGAGGGCUCGUUUUGUCGACAUUUUCCUGCAUUUUCUUUCAUAGAAAAGGUUGUCACGCCACCUUUGACGGGUGCACCAGUCUUUCCAAUACUUUUGAAGUUUUCAAAAUCUACUAUUUCACAAGUUUUUUCACCCCUUUAGAUGUCUAUGGAAAUGUCAGAAAACACUUCUUUUGCUGAUUUUGAUUAGUUCUUAAGAUAAUGAAAAUAUCUUUAUUAUUUUGAAAUCUUAAGUUUUUGUACGCAGAAUUUAGCAAAAUAGACUACGUUCAGAUGAGGCUGAAGAUCGUAAUUUCUCUUUUGGUGUCGCUUAUGGCGUGAGACUAUGUACAGACGAGGACUAUGAGUUUUUGUCGCUCAUUAUUCGCAAUUUCUCUUUUGAUGCCGCUCAUUGCGUUCGCACGAGCGACGCGAGUCUGCCAAUUUGAGUCGCAUUUUCUUUCAACCCACAUUAUCAAAUUCUCGCACGCUUACCUAAUUAGCAAAAACAAAAAGCGUGCCACGCGAAUACGAGCGGCACGGUUCUUUCGUCUUUCCUAGUCGUCCCCUCGCCUACAAAAACUGGUUUAUACUAUGUUCGCACCGACACAAAAUUCGUGUUUUUAUAGGCAAAAGAGGUUUUCACGCGAAAACUUGUGUUUUCAUCCAUACAAAAUCUGUCAAACGAAAA